UAACUCGGGAACGACUACACGACCAGCACCACGCCCUGGAGAAGUCACUGUAGAUGGAGAGGGAACAACGAUUCCAGUUGGAAGAGGCCCUGAACACUAUGCAGGAGCAGGCCCGGCUUGUAGCAGAUAACAAGCAGAUCAAUCUCCAAAUUGAAGAUGAUGAUGAUGAGAGAAUCCUAGAAGCAAGUCCCAUGCUGAUGCGUAGUGAGGCUGG